rnacentral:rRNA from 1 species
AGCGAACGCUGGCGGCAGGCCUAACACAUGCAAGUCGAACGCACCGCAAGGUGAGUGGCAGACGGGUGAGUAACGCGUGGGAACGUGCCCUUCGGUUCGGAAUAACCCGGGGAAACUCGGGCUAAUACCGGAUACGUCCGUAAGGAGAAAGAUUUAUCGCCGAGGGAUCGGCCCGCGUCGGAUUAGCUAGUUGGUGAGGUAACGGCUCACCAAGGCGAUGAUCCGUAGCUGGUCUGAGAGGACGAUCAGCCACACUGGGACUGAGACACGGCCCAGACUCCUACGGGAGGCAGCAGUGGGGAAUAUUGGACAAUGGGCGCAAGCCUGAUCCAGCCAUGCCGCGUGAGUGAUGAAGGCCUUAGGGUUGUAAAGCUCUUUCGGCGGGGACGAUAAUGACGGUACCCGCAGAAGAAGCCCCGGCUAACUUCGUGCCAGCCGCCGCCGUAACAC